rnacentral:miRNA from 1 species
AAAGUCUUUGUGUAGUUUUAAGC